rnacentral:rRNA from 1 species
AUUGAACGCUGGCGGCAGGCCUAACACAUGCAAGUCGAACGAGUGGCGGACGGGUGAGUAAUGCCUGGGAAUCUAGCUUAUGGAGGGGGAUAACUACUGGAAACUGUAGCUAAUACCGCAUACCAUAGGAUGAGCCCAAGUGGGAUUAGCUAGUUGGUGGGGUAACGGCUCACCAAGCCGACGAUCUCUAGCUGGUCUGAGAGGAUGACCAGCCACACUGGGACUGAGACACGGACCAGACUCCUACGGGAGGCAGCAGUGGGGAAUAUUGCGCAAUGGGCGCAACCCUGAUGCAGCCAUGCCGCGUGAAUGAAGAAGGCCUUCGGGUUGUAAAGUACUUUCGGUGGGGAGGCGUUACCUGCAGAAGAAGCACCGGCUAACUCCGUGCCAGCCGCCGCGGUAAUAC